rnacentral:rRNA from 1 species
UACAGAGGGUGCAAGCGUUAAUCGGAAUUACUGGCGUAAAGCGUGCGUAGACGGUAGCGUAAGUCGGGUGUGAAAGCCCCGGGCUCAACCUGGGAAUUGCAUUCGAGACUGCUCUGCUAGGGUGCGGAAGAGGGAAGCGGAAUUUCCGGUGUAGCGGUGAAAUGCGUAGAUAUCGGAAGGAACACCAGUGGCGAAAGCGGCUUCCUGGUCCAGCACCGACGUUCAGGCACGAAAGCGUGGGGAGCAAACAGG